rnacentral:ncRNA from 1 species
AUAAAUACUCCACCGGGAGUUAAAUCGUAUGAACGAUUAUUUACAUUUCAGUAGGUCUGAGAAGAAAUGUAGAUGGUCGUUCUUUUUUU